rfam:Neotoma lepida isolate 417 scaffold_572, whole genome shotgun sequence.
AUCUUCCUCCUCUUUUUCUGCUGGGGAUCAGAGGCCUUGCAGGAAGCCAAAAGGUCUUUCCUUGCUCAGCUCCACAGUCACUGCCCCUGCCCUGAUAAUGGUCACUCCUUUCUUUACUGCUCAGGAACUUUGACAAAAC